rnacentral:rRNA from 1 species
AUUGAACGCUGGCGGCAGGCCUAACACAUGCAAGUCGAGCGGAUGAAGAGAGCUUGCUCUCUGAUUUAGCGGCGGACGGGUGAGUAAUGCCUAGGAAUCUGCCUGGUAGUGGGGGAUAACGUUCCGAAAGGAACGCUAAUACCGCAUACGUCCUACGGGAGAAAGCAGGGGACCUUCGGGCCUUGCGCUAUCAGAUGAGCCUAGGUCGGAUUAGCUAGUUGGUGAGGUAAUGGCUCACCAAGGCUACGAUCCGUAACUGGUCUGAGGGAAUGAUCAGUCACACUGGAACUGCGACACGGUCCAGACUCCUACGGGAGGCAGCAGUGGGGAAUAUUGGACAAUGGGCGAAAGCCUGAUCCAGCCAUGCCGCGUGUGUGAAGAAGGUCUUCGGAUUGUAAAGCACUUUAAGUUGGGAGGAAGGGCAGUAAGUUAAUACCUUGCUGUUUUGACUUUACCGACAGAAUAAGCACCGGCUAACUUCGUGCCAGCAGCCGCCGUAAUAC